rnacentral:rRNA from 1 species
UACGGAGGGUGCUAGCGUUGUUCGGAAUUACUGGGCGUAAAGGGCGCGUAGGCGGUUUUGUAAGUCGAAUGUGAAAGCCCAGGGCUCAACCUUGGAAGUGCAUCCGAAACUGCGAAACUUGAAUCCUGGAGAGGGUGGUGGAAUUCCCAGUGUAGAGGUGAAAUUCGUAGAUAUUGGGAGGAACACCGGUGGCGAAGGCGACCACCUGGACAGAGAUUGACGCUGAGGCGCGAGAGCGUGGGGAGCAAACAGG